rnacentral:miRNA from 2 species
GUGUGAUUUGUAGCAAAGUGAU